GCCGAUGAUGAUAUAAUCCAAAUGUUGGAGGUAUAGUGGAUCCAAGACCUUGUUUUACAGGGAGAACCACUUGGUGAAGCUGUAUUUCAGAUGAUAUUACCGGAUUUAACCGAGGU